CCCCCCCCCCCCCCCCCCCCCCCCCCCCCCCCCCCCCCCCCCCCCCCCCCCCCCCUUUUUUUUUUUUUUUUUUCCCCUGCUCUAGUGGCUAGAAGCCAGAACUCUCCUGUUAAACGCCUCUCGCUGAAUGGGAAAAAUCUGCCUAAAAAUCUGCUUUGUUUAGUUAAUGUUAGUCCUUUUCCCCAGAAAGACGACGAAAAAUAUUACCAUUACUUUAGCUCUGGAGAAGCUUUAAGGGGGUCGUGGAACACAUACUGAGCCCUGCCCUCUAUUCUUCCUUCCUCCUCCCUUCAUUAGCACCACACCUAGAGGAACGCGCGUACAAAAGGAAAAGGGAGAGCCGAAAAAACUGAGCGGUUACCUGAGAAACCAGAUACGGUGCUGGAGACCCUGAUCUUCACUGGCACAAGACAUUUGAAGUUCUGCAGUUGAUUUCUGGAAGACCAGGAGCAGGCCUUGAGGUCUUCUAAUUCUACCUGUCACCGAGCAUCUCCACAGUUGGGAGCCAAGGGCAUGCAGGACAUGGUGGGAUCAGAUCCUGAAUUAAUUAUCUUGGGAAUAAUUGAUCCUCAGAAUAAUUUCUACAGGCACAGCUUCCAAAGAGCUACAUUCUGUACACAUAUAUGUAUGACCCGAGUUUGCUGGAGAAAUUAUGAACUGUAGGAUCAGUAUCCUGACUUUCAAAAUACCUGAACAAUCAGAACCUUACACUGAAAGUGAAAGAGUAUCCUGACUUUCAAAAUACCUGAACAAUCCUUACAAAAUACCUGAACAAACCUUACACUGAAAGUGAAAAAAUACCUGAACAAUCAGAACCUUACACUGAAAGUGAAAGUGUUCACUAAGUGAACAGAAGCCAAGUCAUGAAUAAUGAAGGAAGAGGAUGGGAAAGAGCUUGAAUUCAGCCAUGCUGACAGAAGGUGAGGACAAGACCAGCAGGUUUAUAAGAAUGUCCAGGAAUAGCUGUUCUAGAUAGCAACAUAGAGGCAGAGUGAGAAGCAUUUAUCACCUUUGAUAAGAUGUGGGUAAAUUUCCUGGGGUUAGUGAAAUAAUCUCAGGAGAAAGCAGUUGGCUUUCUAGCUGAAGCAAACAGCAACCAAAAGUAAAGUUCAAGGAGCUGGGCAGGUAAUUGGAGUUUGACCAAGGGCUGUAAGAGUUAAAGAGAGCCUCCACAAGCAACUACAAACAAAGAAGAAAGAGACUAAAACAGAGAGAAAGAUAACAAGAAACACCAGCUUGACCAGUCUUUUUCCUGACUUGUGGAACAAGGAAGUUUCUGAAGAAAAGACAAAUACACAUUUGGAGCAGAAAAGAAAAAAAAAAAACCAAUAUCAAGAAAUUUAUAUCUGACCCUUAAAAUCUUGACAGACCUCCGAGAGAGAAAACAAGUGUUGUAUUUAGGCCUAUGGCACUUAGCUGAAAGAAAAAUAUUAUCUGAAAUGUAAUAUUAUUGUUUGACAUUCUGGGG
rnacentral:lncRNA from 12 species